AAAUGGACCUUCAAGUUCUGCAUCAUCAAACACGUGAACACGCCCUCUGCUCUGGAUAACCUGCUGGUGUCUCACAUUUCCUGCCCUAAGGUUCGCUUAGCUUCUCCGUUUCUCUGGUUAGGGUGUUGUUGCCUUCCUGUUCACUUUAUUUAGUCUCUGAACGGAAAUUCAUUUGCAACUAGUGGUGGGGGCCAACACAUUCACACAAACACCUUUAUGCAACAAUUAAUUAGACAAAUUGGAGACAUACAUCAAGAAAUAAAAAAAGAAUACACAAAAAUCAUGAGCAGAUGUCAAGUCAUGGCAUUAAAGCUACAGUUUACUUAAAGAAUGACAGUGGGGAUAACAGACUCUAAUCUGUUCGUUCUAAGGUGGAAUCCAUCAAGACCUUUUUAUAGUUUGGAAUACUGAUCAGGACUUGAAUUGGUUUAUAAUGUCUUUCAACUGAAUCCCAAUUAUUUUUCCAAAUCCAGUUCUAUAGUCUUUGAUGAAAGCUUUCUUUCUGUAGGAGAUCAAGGGUUUCCACCAGGUAACCCUCCUCCAGCAUAGACCAGGCAGUCAAGACUUCAGGCCGGCUCACUGAUGCUAAGCUACGACAGUUCUAGACUCCAGGUCACAACCAGUCUCUCCAGGAUUCAACCAGGUUCACCUGCUGAGAAGCAGACUCCAGUAACUGGCAGCUUCAUCGUCAGAGACAUUAGAGACAGCAGCAACCACAGGGAGGUUUUACACCAGCGGCCACAAGGGGCAACAUCCACACUCGGUUACAACAACCGGAGGUCACCAAAGUUAGUUCUGCUUCAGUGUGUAAGUUUGCCAAAACAAUGGCAGAUUGUAUUUGGCCAGGAAAUGAAACACCUGCAGACCAGAAUUGAGCAACUUUGGGUUUGUGUACUGCAAGUUUCAAAUGAAAAACCUCCUCAGGACCUAGCAGCCAGACUGUCGACUAUUCACUGUUAACACAGAGUUGAUUCACCCCAAGAGGAGCAUUUAGAUUUAAAUUGUUGAAGUCAUUACAAAGAGACGGUGUUAAAAGUCCGUCUGUUUGUUUGGCACUGCAUUACCCAAGAUGCAUCUGUUCAUUUUGUAGUUCUAAUUUUACGUAGCUGAGCUGGUUGUUUUUCAGUGCUUCUGUGUGGCUCGGUGGCAUUGAAGUAGCAUCCACAUCAAUCCUUUUGUAAUCCCGUGUGUAUGAAACCUGUGUGCGUUUUUAUGAUAUAACCACACACACACACAAACACACCCCCUCACACCAAGUACGGGCACCUCGGUGCUGUCUUCACCUCACCAUCGGCUGUGACUUCACCUCCCGUUGACCUGCUAUUGUUCUAUCAAUAAACCUUCUAAGCUGCA